rnacentral:misc_RNA from 1 species
AGCAGUUUCAAAUUUCUCUACAUCGUCUGCAACUUUUUCUUGGCCUUCUCCUGAACCCUUCCAUGGACUAGAACCAUUACUAUGUUGCCUAUUCAAUCUUUGUCCCAUAGGAGGGAUAUCAUCAAAUAUUGCAGGCAUGUCCUUGAGACUGCUAGAAGCUGAUUUGGUCCCUUCGUUUUCUCUGCUGACUGAUAAUACAGAAUGAGAAUUAUAUUUGUGGUGAAGCACUGAUCGAACCUCUCUAAGCGGCAAAAGAAAUUUAUUUGGAACAUUGCUUGAAGUUGUCUCCUCAUACUUCCUUUUAGGAACUAUCUGCUCGUUAUCAGCCUCUGCAGAAUCAUUAGUACCUGCUAUGUGGUGACUAAACUGCACAAUUUUUUUCACCUCUGGUGGUGAUAGGAUUUUACUGGUUCCAGCAGUGAAAUGCUUUCCAUUGCCAUUUUCUGAACCUGUCUUCGCAUACAAUCCUUUUCUGUACCAUUGUUUAGAAUGAAAAUGAGUCAAAUUUAGAUAUAUAAUAGCCAAUGAAACAGAACAAAAGAAUGCAGAACAAUCUGUUCAACUUAACAUUGUGAAAGCAAAAGAAAUAAUAUGAACUUUUUG